UACAGAGGGGGCAAGCGUUGUUCGGAAUUACUGGGCGUAAAGGGCGCGUAGGCGGCCUUCUAAGUCGAACGUGAAAUCCCCGGGCUCAACCCGGGAACUGCGUCCGAUACUGGAAGGCUUGAAUCCGGGAGAGGGAUGCGGAAUUCCAGGUGUAGCGGUGAAAUGCGUAGAUAUCUGGAGGAACACCGGUGGCGAAGGCGGAUCUCUGGGCCUUACCUGACGCUGAGGCGCGAAAGCUAGGGGAGCGAACAGG
rnacentral:rRNA from 1 species